UACGUAGGGGGCAAGCGUUGUCCGGAUUUAUUGGGCGUAAAGAGCGUGUAGGCGGCCAGGUAGGUCCGUUGUGAAAACUCGAGGCUCAACCUCGAGACGUCGGCGGAAACCCUCUGGCUAGAGUCCGGAAGAGGAGAGUGGAAUUCCUGGUGUAGCGGUGAAAUGCGCAGAGUAUCAGGAAGAACACCCGUGGCGAAGGCGGCUCUCUGGGACGGUACUGACGCUGAGACGCGAAAGCGUGGGGAGCAAACAGG
rnacentral:rRNA from 1 species